UGAAUUAUUUGUGACGUCUAGUGCGAUUCGAGUGUCGGACGCAUCGGAGACCACCGCAUCAUUCACAACAGCUGUUCGGUGUUCAAUGUUCAUACACAUAGCCAAUGCGUUGACAUAGGUUUAGUUGUCACUCAAAAUCAUAACGAACUGCGUGAUAAAUAUUGUUUUUUCGCUUCUUUUUUAAUUCAGCGUCAAAUGCAAUACAUUUUUUAUUGGGUUUGGUUCUUUGAAUAAAUAUUACGCUUAUUGGUCAUCAUUCAAACGUCAACGUUGUGUUUUAUUGAUCUGUGAUAUUAAUACAACUCUCAAUGGAGUCACAGAAUAAAACUGAAAUAACCGAAAAAAGAUCUGUCUGUUUUGAUUUGAACUCAAAUGGCCCAUCUAAUGAACACGAAGAAUCGCCACCAAAAAUUGACAAUUUGGAACAUUUUCCCGCUGAGAUUCUUUUGUCAAUUUUCAACCAGACAGAUGAUAUUGAUUUGGCGAGUUUGGGUUUGAUCAGCGCACGAUUUGAGCCUAUGGUACGAGAAGUGUUAACAGAAAGAUACCCCGACAGAUUUUUCUUGAUCAAAGGAGAGAGCGAACGUCAACAGAACAUGUAUUCCAAGCUACUCAAUCUCUUUGGUAAUAGCAUAAGGGCAAUUGAAGUUAAUGGCAUUCGACACAUUGAUGAUGAUCAUUGGCUCGUUCAACUAUUGAAUAAACAAACGUCAAAUGUGGAAAAGUUGUGCUUUACGGAGUGUUCUUUUCAAAAUGUCGACCUUUUUUUAACGCAACAUAUCAAAAUCACACACUUGGCAUUUCGCGGUGGAUCAUGUGAGGGGGAAUAUCGCAUUCAACUACCCAAAUACCGAAACCUAAAGUCAUUGGAACUAUUUAAAUUUUGUCAUAUCUCAAAACCAUCACUGGAGCAAGUGCUUCUGAAUAAUCGACAAAUGGAACGAUUGAUCCUGAAGUUAUGUGAACAUUAUUUCAAAUUGCCCGACCUUAUGAAACUGAUUUACACCUACCAAACACAUUUGAAAGAGUUGAAUAUAUCAGACAAUUAUGACUAUAGAUUAUGUGACAGUUUUACGGCCUAUUUAGUUGGUACUCUUAUAGAACCAUUUGUGAAUGCAUUAAAAUCUCUGGAAUCAUUUGGAGUGGCCUUGUAUCAUGAAUGUGAAAGAAGUUUGGUGCAAAGUAUUGGUUCCAACUGUAAAAGUAUCAAACAUUUUGAGUUGUACUAUCACAAUCAAAGACGAGAAAUAAUCGAAUUGAUGUGCUCGUUUAACAAAGUCGAAACACUUUCACUGAACAAUUGUUAUUUUCAAGAAUAUCUUCCGACAAUCGUUGAAAAUUUGCCAAAUCUACGCCAUGUGAUUUUUUUAUACAAUUCACAUAUGGAACAUUUCAGUGAUGAUGAUCUUUUGGAAAUCAUACGUAACAGUAGCAAGCACUUGAAAGAAAUUGUAAUCGAAACCAAAUACUACUUGGCCUAUGAUAAGACAUUUCACAAUAAAAAUUUACAUUUCCAUAGGGAAUUUAUCAAAGCCAUACCAAAUCCACACUUCAGAUUGGAAUUCAGAGAAAAGGGGGAGGCUAUUGCAGUCAUAACGAAAGAAGAAAUCAUUUGGAGGAAUAAGCUAUUGCAUUGGGUUGGCUAUAAACCGAUCAACAGUUACUCCGAUUUGCGAUUGUUAGAUUUGGCCACUAUUCCGAAAUGGUCAACCGGUAAACAUAAACACCCGCUCAAUUUGAUUUUCAAUUACUUGGACUUGGAUAGCCUUUACUCCUUCUCUAUGGCUAGUGAAGAGAGCAAGCAACUAGUUGACAACUACAUUCAACAACGCUGUAAGACACCGCACAGAAAACGCGCUAAGCAACGAUCCAGACAACGAGGGAAGUUCUUUGUCACAGACGAAUUCAGGGAGGAUUUCAAUGGAUUGCAAAUGUUCGGAAAGUCUGUAAAGCAUUUGGAUGCUAAUCUUUUGGAUGACCGCAACGAUGGCCUUUGUGAUGUCAUCAAUGAACACUGCAAAUUUCUUACAACGCUGUGCCUUCGCGCACACCGGACAGUCUAUCUACAUAGCCUAUAUUUUCCAAAAGUACGAAACCUGAUUUUCUACGGUUAUAGUGCAGAUCACAGGCAUGUCUGUGAUUUGAGCAAUUUAUCGAAAAAAUGUCCCAACUUAGAAAUAUUGGAAAUAAGAACCGAAAUCGAUCUUAAUGGAAGCACGAAAAACAUGCUUUCAAAAUUACAGAAAAUUAAGUUCAAACCUCGUGAUGAUUCGCAAGUGAAAUUCGUUGAGAAUUUUUUUGAAAAUGCCAGCAUUGAGGUUGUCAUUGAUUCCUGAAAAUUUGGUUUAUAUCUUGAAUUUUGUUCGCCAAAUAGAUGUUCAUACAUAAAUUUUUUGAAAAUUAAUUUGCUUGUGUGAACCAUACCGAACAUUAUGGAAACUAUAUUCAUUUGUGUGUAGCACAUAAAAUCUUUUUGUAGCUUUAUCAAUUGCACUUUCUCCUGCAAUCUUCACAUAUGACAUCUUUUGUUUUGGAGCGUCGACGCCGUAUACACAUACACACAAAUUCGCAAACAGUGUGCGAUCCAAAUACCGGCGACCGAACGCAUCAUAGUCUACUAUAUAAAUACUGUUUAUUAUGCUUAUACAGAUUUAGUUGUCAUUUUGCAUCAAAACAAACGGCGCGAUAGCUUGCAUUUUCUUUGAAUUUUUUGUAAUUUAAUAAUUUCCUCUUGAGUUUUCCCUAUAGCCAAGGAAAGAUAAGAAGGUAAGCACUUGUGUUUGCAAAUGUGCCGAAAAAAUAAAUGCAGCGAGAAUUCAUGUUAGUAUCAUCGUAAAUAUUCAGAUUUAGGUCUGUUGUAUCUAAAUUUGACAAUUUUUAGUCAGUUAGUUUAGGUGUCAUAUUUCAUUAAACUCCGUCAACUUCAUAAACAAUUGAUAUAAAAAAAAGAUUCGAAAUUUGAAAAGUAAUAAAAAUUAGUGAAAACUUUCAAUGCACGUUUACUUGUCAACAAUUGACACCCAUAGAAUGAAAAAAAGAACUUCUGAACUCUUUGCCGAUAAAUGAAACGAAAAAAAAACUUAGAGCAAAAAAGAAACAAAUGAAGUUGCGAGCAAAAGUGACACAAGUAGCCAUUGAGCGGAAAACACGUUUUUCUCAUUUUUCUCGCUACUGGAAAAAGAUAGCGACUACGUGUCUUCGGCAAUAUUGUAGAAAAUGGAAAUAACUAUAAAUAAGCCGAAGACGCAUAGUCGCUGUCUUUUUCCAGUAGCGAGAAAAAUGAGAAAAACGUGUUUUCCGCUCAACGCCCACUUGUGUCACUUUUGCUCGCAACUUCAUUUGUUUCUUUUUUGCUUUAAGUUUUUUUUCGUUUCAUUUAUCGGCAAAGAGUUCAGAAGUUGUUAUUUUGUUCUUAGACUGUGAAUUGUGUAUGUGUAAAACUUUUUCAAUUUAAGUACCAAUGAGUGAACUUGCUUGAAUUUCGCAAUACGCGUUCGUGUUCGACAUCAUCUUAACAAAACGCUGUAUAUUUUCAUCAUUCCUUGUGUAGUCGAACAACGAGACUUAACCAACAAAAAAGAGUUUCGUGUCGGAUUUGAAGUCAAACGAUCAAAGUAAUAGCACCGAUGCAUUACCACCAACCAAAUGACAAUUUUGAACAUUUUUCCGGCUGAGAUUCUUUUGCCAAUUUUCAACCAUACAGAUGAUAUUGGUUUACUAAGUUUGGGCUUGAUCAGCGCACGAUUUAAGCCAAUGGCACGAGAAUUGUCCGCGGAAAGAUACCCCGACAGAUAUUUUCUAAUCGAAAGAGAGACCGAACGACAUCAAAUCAUGUAUUUCGAGCUAUUCAACUUCUGUGUUAGCAACAUAAGAGCAAUUGAAGCGAAUGGCAUUCGAUACAUUGAUGACAAUCAUUGGCUAGUUCAACUAUUGGAUACCCAUAUGCUAAAUAAGUACUUGUCGAAAAGAUGCCCAAAUUUGAAAAUAUUGGUUAUCAGAACCAAAGUUAAUUUUCAAAGAAAAAAUCUCUAAAAAUUCACGGCUACUCAAAAAUUUACAAAAACUUCAAUUCAAACCUCGUGAUGAUCCGCAAGUGAAAUUUGUCAAGAAAUUCUUCAAUAAUUCUAGUACUGAGGUUGUCAUUAAUUCAUAAGGGAAUGAAAAGCAAAAAAAAAAACGUUUGUUAGAAACCUUGAAUAUUAUCGCUUAAAUAAGUCUAUUUUUGUAGCAUUGAAAAAUUGACUCAUUUUCAAGGAAAUGCAUGUCAAAAAAUGUUCCAGUAAAAUUAUACAUUCCUCAAAAAUAAAUAUUCAAUACAAAAAAAUGCCACGAAAUCAAA